ensembl:rRNA 5S_rRNA 5S ribosomal RNA
GUCUACGGCCAUACUACCCUGAAUGCGCCCGAUCUCUUCUGAUCUCAGAAGCUAAGCAGGGUCAGGCCUGGUUAGUACUUGGAUGGGAGAACACCUGGACACAGGAAGGGGAACAUC